rnacentral:lncRNA from 1 species
CUGGCUGGGGGCUCGCAGGUGAGUUUUGGAGGCAGCUGGUAUCUGCACAGCCACAGGCCCUCCUGCUGGGGCCCUGGUAGGUAUUUGGAGCCCAGCCAGAGCCACACACAGCUGGAGGCCUUGGAUGCUCCCUCUUGCGUCCUCGUGCCACCAUUGCCCCCAACAGUCCUGGCCUGCUUACCUGGCCCUCGCACCUGUGCUCUGGGCCUGUGUCGUUCAGCCUCUCUGUCCACUCCUUUGAUGGUGUGUGCCUGUCUCUGGAUGUUGAUGUCAGCUUGUUUGUCUGCUCCCUGCCCUGUGCCUGGGUGUGUUGGAGUGUCUAACCGUGUCUUUCUGCCCGUCUGUCCUGUGCAGCUGGACUCUGUUGAGGAAGGAGCGGUAUGGAUUCUUUGUUUCUUCCGCCCACCUAGGCCCCAUCCCUACCCCCAAGUCAAAAGCAGCCACUCCUGUCCUGAGUUUUCUCUGCAGCUGCUUGGGACAACAGAGGCAGGGCAUGGCGUUUCCCUCUUGCCAUGUUGCCCAUCCCAGCCAGUCCCACCUCGGGUCUGUCAGUACACCAGGGUCUGCCUGGGGACACAGAGCUCUGGGCUGACUCUGGGCUGGCUCUGGCCAAACUACUGAGCCCCGAUCCUUUUUUUGCUGCAGAGGACGAUCUCUUUGGGGGCUGGUGACCGGCAGGUCAUCCAGACUCCACUGGCCGACUCGCUGCCCGUCAGCCGCUGCAGCGUGGCCCUGCUCUUCCGCCAGCUAGGCAUCACCAACGUGCUGUCUUUGUUCUGUGCCGCCCUCACGGAGCACAAGGUUCUCUUCCUGUCCCGGAGCUACCAGCGGCUCGCCGAUGCCUGUAGGGGCCUCCUGGCACUGCUGUUUCCUCUCAGAUACAGCUUCACCUAUGUGCCCAUCCUGCCGGCUCAGCUGCUGGAGGUCCUCAGCACACCCACGCCCUU